GAAGUAAAAGUCGUAACAAGGUUCCGUAGGUGACCUGCGGAAGGAUCAUUA
rnacentral:rRNA from 1 species